rnacentral:misc_RNA from 1 species
AAAGUCGUAACAAGGUUUCCGUAGGUGAACCUGCGGAAGGAUCAUUAGUGGAUUCGUGGCCUCCCGAGGCUCACGCUCUCUAUCCUUCACACACACCUGUGCACCCUUCUGAAGCGGAGAGUUAUUAGGCGUCCGCCGAGCGCCUCCCUUCGGUCAUCACAUCAACUUCCAAACCAUGUUUACCAGAAUGUGUGCCGUCUUGUCGUAAUGACAAGCACGAUCCAAUAAAACUUUCAGCAACGGAUCUCUUGGCUCAG